rnacentral:ribozyme from 15 species
UCUUUCUUUCUUUCUUUCUUUCUUAAUUUCUUUCUUUCUUGCUAUUUAUUUAAUGUAAUACGCACUCCAAUGAUGAUAUAUUACAGGAGAGAGGGAGGGAGGGAGGGAGAGAAAGGAAGGGUGGCAUUCAAAGAGACGACGAAAAAGAGGUUGUUCUCUCUAUUUCUCUACUACUCCCGAAGAAUA